rnacentral:rRNA from 1 species
UACGUAGGGUCCGAGCGUUGUCCGGAAUUAUUGGGCGUAAAGAGCUCGUAGGCGGUUUGUCGCGUCUGCUGUGAAAUCCCGAGGCUCAACCUCGGGCCUGCAGUGGGUACGGGCAGACUGGAGUGCGGUAGGGGAGAAUGGAAUUCCUGGUGUAGCGGUGGAAUGCGCAGAUAUCAGGAGGAACACCGAUGGCGAAGGCAGUUCUCUGGGCCGUAACUGACGCUGAGGAGCGAAAGCGUGGGAAGCGAACAGG